rnacentral:rRNA from 1 species
CAGUCGCCACGGUAAUACGGAGGGUGCAAGCGUUACCCGGAUUUACUGGGCGUAAAGGGCGUGUAGGCGGCCUGGGGCGUCCCAUGUGAAAGGCCACGGCUCAACCGUGGAGGAGCGUGGGAUACGCUCAGGCUAGAGGGUGGGAGAGGGUGGUGGAAUUCCUGGAGUAGCGGUGAAAUGCGCAGAUACCGGGAGGAACGCCGAUGGCGAAGGCAGCCACCUGGUCCACUUCUGACGCUGAGGCGCGAAAGCGUGGGGAGCAAACCGGAUUAGAGACCCCUGUAGUCCCUGUCUCUUAUAA